CACCGUGCCUCUGCGUCGCCGUGGCCUUUGCCAGGGUAGGCCCGACCCCCAGAGCGAGGAACGUGGCGGCCUUGCUGCCCGGCCGGUUCCUGUGCCUGCCCGAUUACACCAGCGGCUGCCGGAAUGGCUGCGGGAUGGCCCGGCUCCCAGGUGGUGUGGAGAAGAGCCUGGGCCUAAUGGGUCCUGAACCUCUCACCUGGGCCUGCACUUGCAGCUGACAUGGAGCUCGCGUCGGGGGGAGGGGGUGUUCUCCCAUCCCGUCACCACCAGGCCUGAGGGUCCUCUCCCCACAGAAACCGGGAGAAGACUGGGACAGAGGGAGCAGCGCUUCCCCUGCUCCCGUGCUCCUCUACCCCCGUGCAGUCUGUGAGGCGGGACGCCCCAAAGGCGGAUCCAUGCACCAUUCAGGAGAGUCGUGCAAAUUCUGUGUGAGGCUUUGUCCCCAAACUCCCAAAUUUGAAUGGGAUUCACACGCUUUAUUUCCAAAAAAGAAAUUUUUGUUUUCAAUUUAUGCCCUGCUAUAGUUCUCAAAUAGUGACUAAAAAUCAUAUCUAUCAAUGUCCUGGGACUGAAGCAUUUGGAAAAUGAAGCAGAGGGGUCAUGAAAUUAGUUUUAUUAAAUGACCCACAGAAUGAAGCAUUAAUACUUACACCUGUUCUUAUAUUUGGGAGCAGUUCCAAUGCUGGGAAAUAAUUCUUUUCACACAUUCAGUUGCAUUUGGCUUGAAGCCACGGUAUGAAUAAGGUGCAUAAAUCCAUACUGAGUUUUGCAUCCAUGUUGUUACAUUUCUGUAUGCUUCUAUAUUAUAUAAGUAAGGCCAUCCAAGGAUAGCUGAGACUUCAUUUUCUCUGCUAAAUUUGUUGCACUGCAUUAAAACCUCUCUCUCUGCUUGUAACUAGUAGAAAACUAAACACAAAGGAGGAGAAAAUGGUCCUAAAUGUAUGAAAGCAUGAGCGACAGAGUUGCACAAGACUAGAGACAAGUUCAUAUUGCUUCAGAGUUUACCUGGACACUGUGUCUUUUCAGGAGAAAGCUAAGAAAUACAUACAGCAAUUUUUUUUGGGUCCCCUCCCCCUCUCCACAGUCCAAGUCAGCAUUUCUGUUCUUCCUGAGCCUGCUAUGGCACAGGAGGUGCUCCCAGAGUAAGAGUCUGUAUGUCCUACUAAAACCAGAUAAUGCCUCAACCACCUCAGACUAAGAAAAUGAAAACUCCAUGAUCAAAAGGGACUAGUUAAGGGUCUCCACUUUUAUUUAUUCAAAUGAAGAGAAUGUUGUAGAAUGCUAAUUUUCUGCAAUUUCACUUACUUGAAAUCACACAGGAAAACCAGUGAUAAAAUCCAAGUCCUUGCUUUUACCAUUUAAUUAUAUUCUCUUUGCAUGCAGUUUCCUUUUUCUGAUCAAAAGACCACUCCAUAUGUAAGAGAAAGCUUAAAAGAGAUCCAAGUUCAGUCAGAAAUCUGAGGCACAAAUAGAAUGGCAGAGUUCUCAUCCCAGCUGAUGAACAGUAUGACACCAGUUACUCGACAAGAAGUUCUUGGUCUUUACCGCAAGAUAUUCCGAAUAGCCAAAAAAUGGCAAUCAGCAUCAGGACAGAUAGAAGAAACUAUUAAAGAGAAAGAGUACAUUAAAAAUGAAGCCAAAACAUUAUUCAAAAAAAACAAAAAUGUAAUGGAUCCAAAGUUGAUCAAGCAGUGUAUAGAUGAAUGUGAGGCAAGAAUAGAAAUUGGACUUCACUAUAACAUCCCCUACCCAAGACCUAUCCACCUGCCUCCAAUGGGUCUUGCCCAUAAACAAGGCCGUACGUUGCGACACCAGGAAAAGUUAAGGAAGAUUUCUAAACCCAUAUACCUGAAAUCCCAUGACGAAGUUUCAUAACCCACCAUUUAAACUGUGAUGCGUAAUCCCAUAACUUAAAAUGUGGAUGGUAAUCCAGGUGAUUUGUGUGCACAACUGUGAACGAAGCUGUUUUGGUCACUUGCUCACACAUUUCCUGAGGCCAAAAAGCUAACUGAUACAUUGCAUAUGAUGGAUAAGCACCAGAAGGCAAAGACUGAAAUUUGUUAAAACCUCAGGCUGUUCAGCCAAAGGAGAGAUUAAAUCAACUCUUUUGUCAAGUCCGGAGAGCAAAACCCUUCUUUCACAUCUUAAGUUAAACUCUGUAUGGAAAAGAAAAUCUGCCUUAAAUACAAUCCUUUGGUUUUGGAGGUCAGACUGGCAAACUACCAUUUUGAAGGAGUUGCAUAAAAAAAUUUCAUCUGCAACUCAGUCCAGCGGGUAGGCAGAUGUCUCAACGGGUACUCAUUGUAUUAAAUUCCAAGGGCCGUAUAACUUCUGUCAAGAAGUAUCCCAACAAUGGUGCAAUGUCAUUCCUACACAUUAAUUUUACCUGCAGAAAGAUGUCCAAAAAUGCCUCUGAGUUCUUGCGAGUUUGUAAUGCGCUGGAUUCAAUCAGUGUACACUCUGUCCUGUACGUCCUUAACCUUCUCUUACUCCCCUUCCAGUAAAUACUGUCUCUUCCCAAUUUAUCACACUAGUCAGGAGAUGCUUUAGAAUAAUUUAGAAUAAAAAGAUGACAUUCAUUUUAUACUCUUUAGAAAUAAAAAUCCAGAGUCAGUUGCAUGACUUCUCCUGCAAGCUAACUGGUAGGCAAUGCAGUAUUAAUUUGUUGACAUGGUAUCUGGCCUUGAAUAUCUAAAUAACACAUCCUCUCUGGAAAUUCUGUCCCUAACUUCAUCAUUAAUAAGGUUGUAAUUUAUGAAACUUAUGAAACCAAAUUUAACACUAACAUUAGCAAGCAUACUGUCAUUUAAGAGGAUGGACUUGGCACCCGCUUACUGUCUGCACCCCCUCAGUAUUGUCUAGGGGCAAGGAAACACUCAUUAAGUUGCAACAGUGACGCCGUCUAUUCCAAGGGAAGUACCACAGAACUGAAACAGGAUAUCUGAUCUGUUUUCCUACUAGUACCACUUUGCUCUUGUAACUUCCAUCUUUUAUCCACAGACAGAAAGGUCACUUAAUCGAUCAUACCUACAAAUUCAUUUUCAAGAAUGCUAGUUACAGGAGAGAUCUGCACCUUUCACUAAUUUUUCUAAUUGGGCAGAACAUUCAAGCUUAUAGGAACUCCUAAGUAGAAGAUUUUGGGGCCUUUGUAUUGUCUUUUGCUUUUUCACUGUAUAAUUUUCCCUUUAACAGCCCAACAGUGUUAAAUCAACAGAGACAGUAGUUUCUGCUUCUGAAAUGGAUUUUUGUAUAGAUGAGAUAAAGAUUUCAAUCUUAACAAAAUGUACUAACCCUAUCUGUCUUACAGCACCCCCAGCUGAAAAUCUGUCUCUGCUAUUUCUAGGGAAAAAAGUACCUCUUGCUCUGUAAUGUCUGUAUACUGCAUUUUUUUCCAUCUGCUUCAAGUUAUUAGCAAGGCUAAUUUGUGAUUUGCAGUAAUUACAAGUGUUUUUUGUGGUUUGUAUAGCAAGCAUUUCUAUUAAGAAAUGGAAAUACUAAACCUGUAAAGCCAAGAAUUCUAAUACUACUAUUAGAAGGUACUUCAUUUGUCCAGAUGUUUUUCACACCUUUAUCAUGUCCAACACAGCUGAGUUGCCUUUUUCUUUUUUAUAUGCAUCUCAGCCAAGGAAGGUUGUGAAUUCUAAUGUUUAGCCAGCUUGUCAUUCUUCAGGAAGGUCUUAAACAAUGCUCAGGAAAUAAGGUUGGGAAGCUCAUUUCAAAGAGCCACAGACAUCUCUAAGACAGAUAUCCCUCAACAGUAAAUUCCAUUACUUUUCCUCUAAUAGUAAGGGCAGCUCAGGAAAUCACGUACUUCAGUAAUCGUCAACUAAAGCAACUCAGCCAUGCCUGAUCCCCAGUGAAGGAGGCAUAGCUACCAGCAGAUGCAAGAACUCUCUUUUAUAGACUUCUCUCUUGUCUAUAUAUUUUGGUCACAUCUACAAAAGUUUGAAAUACAUCUUUAAUUACAUUCUAAGAGAUGCCUUCAUCUCAAAUCUAACCAUUGACACAGAAGAAGCAUGUAGAAGAUGAACACAGUAACAAGGACAUUGUACACAAUGUAGCAGCAAAGCCACUAUUUAUUUGCAAGAACCACAACUGUGUCAUUUAAUAGACUGUCCAUUAGUGUUUGUUCAAUGAGGCAUUAACAAGAAACCCACUUGGCAAGUUAUCCCACAGUAUUUUCUGACAGUUUAAAAGUAAUUUAUCUCCAUAAAAUGUAAUUUAGAUAGCAUAUUCUAGUGAAUCUGGCUUUUAAUUUAAAAUGGCUUAGUUUAGAGGACUGUGUUUGCAAGACUAGCAUUAUCUGAAGAAGGAUGGAGAAACUCAAUCCUCAAAUUUCAACUUCUCUU